CCUACGGGAGACAGCAGUGAGGAAUAUUGGUCAAUGGACGCAAGUCUGAACCAGCCAUGCCGCGUGCAGGAAGACGGCUCUAUGAGUUGUAAACUGCUUUUGUAAGAGGGUAAACGCAUAUACGCGUAUCUGUCUGAAAGUAUCGUACGAAUAAGGAUCGGCUAACUCCGUGCCAGCCGCCGCGGUAAUACGGAGGAUUCAAGCGUUAUCCGGAUUUAUUGGGGUUAAAGGGUGCGUAGGCGGUCGGAUAAGUUAGAGGUGAAAUCCCGAGGCUCAACUUCGGAAUUGCCGCUGAUACUGUUCGGCUAGAGAGUAGUUGCGGUAGGCGGAAGGUAUGGUGUAGCGGUGAAAUGCUUAGAGAUCAUACAGAACACCGAUUGCGAAGGCAGCUUACCAAGCUACUUCUGACGUUGAGGCACGAAAGCGUGGGGAGCAAACAGGAUUAGAUACCCCAGUAGUC
rnacentral:rRNA from 1 species